rnacentral:lncRNA from 1 species
GACCAACAAAAAUGUCAUACAAUCUUUAGUCAUAAGGUGUGAGUUGAUCAAUGACAUAGCGACAGGUUCCUAGACUGCAGUAGAAGAAUCUAUGAGGGUAGCAUCCAACAAAUUGCAUAAGGAUGAUAACCCUUGGGGCAUUGUCUCGUGUAAUUUUGGUCUGAAAACUGUUAUACUCCCUAUGAAACAAGCUGAAACAGGAGCCAAAGAUCAAAACAAUUCAAGCAACUCUUCUGCCAGUUCCCUUGAAUGAAACAAACUGUCGAUGUACUGCACUACUAAAGCUGAUGAAUCAACAAAGCUUUGCAUCUUAGUAGUCAUCGAAACCUCUGAAAAGCCACAUACAACAAUGAUAUGUAACUUAUGGUCGUAAUUUUAUAUCCAUGAUGUAUAUAUGUCCAUAAACAGUUCAAACAUGGACUUAAUUACCAUUUUCAUGCAACCAUAAGCUUGGCCCUUGUAGGAAGGGCAGGCAGUGAAGCAAAGACGGCAGUUCUGGUAGCCCAUCCAUGGUAUGCAGCAAAGGGCUUCUCGUAUGACUUUGAAACCGCACCCACAAUUGAGUUCCCUCUGCAAAUUAAUCAAACCCCCACGUUGUAGUCAAUGCAAAAGUCUUAAAAUAAAUCUAUGAAUGGAAGGGAAAUUUUUAUGAACAUACCCUCUGGUUACCAUCUGCUCGAACAUCACACUUAGCAUGAUGGUUGAACGCUUGACUCUAAUCAGGCUUCUUGAGCUGCUAUAAUGCUUCUUUGCUAAGUUCUGCUCAAUUUCUCUAUCAAUCAAAGUUUCAAGUGUAUCAUCUGCUCUUGCCCCCUUGUUAAGAUCGUUAACCUUUGAUGCAUACAAUAUUAAGCCAUAUCAAAUUACAAUCUAGUAUCCAUAAAAGUCUUUCAAUAUGAAUCAGAUGAAACCGUAUAUUUUCUCAACUUGGUAUGAAUUAAUGUUGGCAUGUCACCUUGGAUAAGAAUUCCAACUGAGCAAACUUGAAAGGAAGGCCUAAGUAGCCAACGAAAGUGGAGCCAACACGACAUCCUUGAACAAGUGUUAUGCCUGUAACAGCCUAUUAAUUCUCUUGGAAGUCUCUCUUCUAUAGAAACUUUUUUUUUAAUUUUUUUAUUCACUAAUAUAAUUUAUAUUGUGAGAAGUAUAUAACUUGGACAUAGAUUAGUCUUUAAAUUUUAUUAAUCAAAAGCAUUUUUAUUCAUUCCAUAGACUUAAAUGUACAAAGUUGUAAUUAUCACACAAAUAAUAAAUGACAAAUAAUCAACAAAAUUAGAACCAAUGAGAGAGAGAGAGAGAGAGAGAGAGAGAGAUUUUAGUCAAAAACGUUGGCUUGGGUUUAUAUAUGAAUAAGACACAAAGAAGAAGACAUGAUGUGAAGACAAACUUUAAGUCUAUGUAAUUUGUUAAAUUCUAAAGAAAUCCUUAAAAGCUUGGUAGGUUGGGAAGGUUUUUCCAUGAGAACGAGUACUUAGGGUGGUAGGCAUCAUGUGAAAGUCUAUCUAAUAUACUAAAUUGUAAAGGAAUAAUUGAAUUUAAUACUGCAACUGGGCAAGUUGGGUAGGAUUUGUAGCCUAUUCAAAUCAAAUUUGAAAUUAAAAAAUUUGGAGCUCUAUUUAGUGGAGGUGUUUAAUCCAAGCUCCACUUGGGGUGUAUUUUUUUAAGCAUUGGGUUAGAGUUGAGUAAGACUUUGAUGUCAAGUUGCCUCUAAAAAUCAAAUUUCAUCAAGUCAAUCCAUAAUAUUCUAUUUUACCUUGUUGACUUUAUUUCAUAGAUAAAAUUUAAAUAUUAAAUGAUAUAACAAUUUAAUAAGUGAAUAAAAAUCUUUUUAGGAAAAAAUACUACAUGAUUGAUUUUAAAACAUAUAAAAUGUAUAUUAAUAUAUAAAUUAUAAAGUUAUAUAAAUAUUAAAUCCUUUUGGAAUUAUGCAAAGAAUACCUAAAUACUUGAUCCGAGCCUAAUCUAAAAUGAGUUUAAGUUAAAUAAUCUAAUUGGAUUACCUAGGCUUUUUGAUUGGAGCUUGACCUAAAUCAAGUUUGAGUUAAAAAAAAAAAAAAAAAAAAAACAAACUCAAUCCAAGAACAAAUUUUGAUUAUUCAAGUCUAUCCAAAUUAAUAUCAGGUUGGAUUAGGUCAAGUAAACCAAGUUAUCUCCCAAACUAAAAUUGACUGGAAGAGCUUCACAAUUAAGUUUGUAGAAUUUGGAAUAUUUGAUUAAAAAGGGCAAAACAACCCAAAGUUAAUUUAUAAAACUAUCCUUUGAGAAAUAAUACAAAAAAGGGAUUAAUCUUAGAAUUUCAUUAUAAUUCUAGAAAUUGCAUUUAGAAGAAAAAGCUAAUGAAGAUUCAUUAUCACAAACAAGCAAAAACAAACAUUUCGAGAUUUUUCAUGGAAAUAUCAAUGAAAAAUUGGAUAUCGAUGAGUAGCAAGAAAAAAUAGGGAAGAAAUCUUGGUUGAUCAAUUUUUCAAAACAAUUCGUCAACAAAAAAUCAUUGAUUUAUCGAUGAUAUAUAGGCUAAUAUCGAAAAUUUCUGGAAGCUAAUUGAACCAUGCUUUCCCAUUAUAGAAAAUCAUUAAUAUUUAUCCAUUUAUUUUUAUUUUAUUUGUGGCAGACCAUUUCAAUCCAUUUGUGCAUGCAUCUUAGUUCAUUCGGAGGAAACAUAAUAUAAGCCCUUUCACAAGUUAGAAAUCUAUGGGUCGUUUCAUAAAAAUAAAAAACAAAAAACUUGUUUAAAUAAUUUUUUUUUGUUUUGAUUUUAUAAAAAUUAAAUUAAAUUUAUAUAACAUUAAUUAAAUUUUAUUAAAGUGUUAUUAAAAAUGAAAAUGGUUUUAUAAUCAUAAAUAAAUUUAAAAAUUAAUACUUUUUAAUAAAACAUGAAUAAUAAUAUUAUAAUAAAAUCAUAAAUGAUAUUUUUUUUUUGUAAAAAAAUACACUUAAUAUAUAUUAGAAGUAUAAGAAAAUUAACAUCUUCAUAAAUUUUAUUUAAAAUAAAUAACAAUUAAAGUUUAAUUUUUUUAAUAUAUAAAUGAGUCAAAUUUAUAUUACAUGUAUACAUUUAGUACUCAAUUAUAUCCUAUUAGAAUAGAUUCAGGAAUAUCCAAAUUAUAGGUAUUGUAAUUUAAACACUUAAAUCUACAAUAUUUAUAUUUCAUAUACUUCCCUUGUUUAGAUCUGAAAAUUCCUAUGAUAAUUUUCAAGGAUCAAGGAUUUGUCAUUCCUACAACUAAAGCCAUCAAUGUCUAAUCCACCCACCAACAAGCCUUUUUUAAUGCACUUCCAUUCUAAGCUUCAAAGGCUCCACCUUAAUUUGUGCACCAUACACACCACACACUCAAACACAAGAUGAGAUUUAUGGAUUCUAAAUCUUAUGGAAGAACACUCUCUAGAUUACAUAACUCUCCAAUAGGGUUCUCUAGUUAAAUUGACCAACAACACUUAGUAUGAAGGGCAAAAAAGUGCCCAACGGUUAUUAAAUGAGGCAUUAGAUGCUCCUACAAAUAGUAGACUGGGUUGACCAUGACAAACCAGACCUCGAAGGAUCAAAUAUCACAAUUUAAAAGCAUUAAAAAAUUAGGCAGAUGGAAGGAGGCCAACCCAAUUAGACUUUGACUGGCUGAGCAGCCUCAAUAAACUACAUAAAACUGAAAAUGCUUGAAGGAAAGAGAAUACCAUGUGGACUUGAGACGGGCCACAAAGACUGUAAAAUGAUAAAAAAAUACCCAUCUUCCAAAAAAAUGUACCAAAUGAGGCCAAAUAUUAAGAUAUAGCCUAAAUAUGAUCAGCCAUGUAAAAAUGCUCACAUACAUUUACAAAAAUAUACUUUUAAACAUUUGAGAGAAGCCCCCAAAAAGUUGAGCAAAUUUUCUAAAAUUAAAUUAAAAUAUAAAUCUUAGCCUUCACACAAUCAAUGAGUCAACCCUAGGGCUAUAGUUGGUUCUCGGAAAGUACUAGGAAGAGGAAAAAAAAUGUCAAAUAUAAUUUUCUCACUUUUAGUUUUAUUAUAGAAAAUGAGAAAAAAGAAAAUGUAAUUAAUUAAAAUUAUUAAGAAAUUUUUAUAUUUUAAAAUUAUUUAAUUUUUAUAUAGACAAUUAAAUAAGUGAAAAAAGUUUGAAGAAAUAUAUAAAAAUGAUUUAUUGACUUUAAAAUAAUUUUUUUCUUCAUUUUUUUUUAUUUCCUUUUACUUUUCCUCUUUAUUUUCUUUCCUUUACAUUUUCCUUGAAACUUUUUGGGAACCAAACAUAAACUAAGAUACCUUAUUUCGUGAAAUUUCCAAUACUCUAUACUUUAUUGCCUCGGCAUAAGAGAAAGGUCUUCUUCUACAAAGGCCAUACAAUAUCGACAAGUUGUAGGUUCUCUUUAAUAUUUUUCUCUUUUACCCAACAAGAUAUCUCCUUUAUUGUCAACAAGCUCGCUCAAUUUAUGCAUUGUCAUAUUAAAACUAUCAAUUGUUCGAAAGCGAACCUUUUCAUUAUCUCAAGUAUACCAUGUAUUACGGUCUUUCUAACCACAGAUGAAAACACAUACUUAGAAGGUUUGACAAAAAUUAUAUUUUACCUUUAGGUAUGGAGGCUUGCCCACAAUUGCCCGUGCUAUGGACCUAUGGAGUGGUACACCCAUCUUUGCCCUUGAAAUAGAAGGCUGAAAAAAAGAGGCAUAUCCCCUUUAGGUAUGACAUUAGCAUCAAUAAUGUAAGUAUUUAUUACUUGCAAAAUUGGUGUAUCCUACUGUCUAUCCAUAUUUUCUUGUCCAUUUAGAACAUAAAAAAAGGUUCCCAUCCAAGGAAGUUUAUUUAUCACUUGUAGAAUUUAUCUACUGCUUCCAUAUUUUUUAUGCUUUUAUUUAAGGGAACUCAAUAUAAAUUAAAGAAGAAGAAAUAGGCAAGGAGUCGAUGAAGUUUGGUUGGAUGUGAAGCAGUCCAAUAUACCUAAUAUUAUUUACAAGCAAAAUCUCGGUCACAAUUCUAAUUGUGGAUCACAGUGCCUACUAGGCACUGAAGUAAAAUUUGUAUAAAUAUAAAGAAAUGAAUACGUUAUAGGGGAAAAAAAAACAAGUAUUUUGAAAGAGAGUUAUGGUUUUUAUUUGGUCUUAUUUUGGAUAGUUUGUAUUUCUACUAACUGAUUGAAGAAUCUUUGAAUGGUGGGUAAAAUUAUAACAUCUUAUUAAAAGUAUUAUAGAGAAUGGACCUAGACAUAAUACAUGUUUGAACCAGGAUGAUGUACAUUUGUGCAUUACUGCAUUUAAGUUAAAUGUUGAAGAGCAUGGACAAACCAAUACACACCAUAGAAACAAAAAAAAAAAGAAAUGUACCAUGACAUUCAUUUCAAAGAAAUAUUGUUUGUGAUUAUAUUUUAUAAAAGAACAAAGGAGCAGGAGGGGAAAUCUUAAACAUGAAGUAAUAAUGAAGCUUGGAGAUGCAGAGAAGAAAAUGUAUCAACAUGAAGAUUCCGUCCAAAGGUUUAUAACAAAAAUAUUUGUACCCAAAUCAUAGUACCAAAAACAAUUUGUUUGUAAUUAAGAAUGAACAAUGAAAUUAAAAGUAAAAUUAACAUUAGGGCUAACACCAAAUCUAGACAAGAAGAAAAAAUGUAAAAUUAAAAAUUGGGGCUAAUACAAAUAUGAACAAGAAGCCAAAAAAAAUGUAUAUAUAUAUAUAUAUAUAUAUACAAAAAGGAGAAGAGAAAGAUACCUUUGCAUAUUAAUUAGUUGCCAUUUUUCAUAUCCAUUGCCACCAUUGUUUCUCAUCUUUUUUCAUAGUUGCAUCAUCCUUGUCAUCUUAAUCCCCAUCCUCUUUCUUAUUAACCUCUUAAUUUUCAAUUGGAAGCACAAAAUAAGAUAAGGCAAAUGCAAUGCUAGCAAAGUCAUAGAGAAAAGAAUCAAACAAAAAAGCCAAUAGAAAAGCAUUGAUAAAAAAAAAAAAUACAAACAAGAGAUAACUAAAUGGUAUAGAAAAUCUAAGGAAAAAUUAAAAUAGAUGAAAGGAAAAAGUGAUUAAGUAAUAGGUAGAACAAGGGUUAAAAAUAAAAAUAAAAAACAGAGUAGAUCUCCUAUAUUGGAUGGUGGAAAAGUGAACAAAAAAUAAAAUAAAAUUGUUAAUCUAACUUCUUGUGGAUCAAACAAGUACCUCGAAAUUAAAGUUCACUGAAUUAUAAAAUGUUCAUAGAAUAUGAAAAAGGAUGCAGGGAAUGGUAAAGAGAAGAGGCAGCUAAUCAAUGAAACACAUAGGAAAAAGGUUUAAAGCUCAUUUUGAUACAAUUCAUAUUUUUUAUUUGUGAAAAACAGAAAGUAAUAGUAAAUUGAAUAUAAAAUGUAGGAGCACUUUCCUAAAAAGUACAAACUUUAUCUUAAGUUCUUAAAAAUCAAUUUUAAAACAUGUAGUGAUAAAAAUUAUUUGAUACAUUAAUUUUUUUUUAAAUAGUUUUAAAAACUCAUCGUAUUUUUAAGAUGAAGCUCUGAGAGUUCUUGAAUGUUGCAUAGAAGUUAUGAUCAUUUUAUGUUUUUAAAAUAAAAAAACAAGAAAUGCAUCCAAAGCACAAUUAGUAUUAUAUUUAUUUGGAAAUCAAAACUGAGAUUAAAUUUCGAGGGAGGGGAAUGGAAUAUGAAAGAAACAUUCUAUCUCAUGAUAGUUUGUAAGAGAAAAUGUAAAGAAAAGGAAAUCUUUUAAAUUCGGAGAUGCAAAGAAGAAAGUGGAUGAACAUCAAGAUUCAAUGCAAAGCUUUAUAACAAAAUAUUCCUAGAAUUUUUAGCAAAUAUAUAGUGUUUUUUUUUAUUUAUAACUCACGUAAAGUUGAACGUAGAGAUAGCCUUGUAAGUAAGAAGUGGAGUGUAAGUAAGAAGGGGCAGGUUUUGAUAUCAGUUAUAAUGGGAAGAAGAAAGAGAUGCAUGCUAUGCAUGGAGGGUUGGCAAAAGGUAAUUUUUCAAAAUUUGUGUAAUCCUAAAUACGCCUACCCUAAUCAUAGCCAGCUAAAUACAUAACAAGUGUAACAUAUUUCUAAUGAUAGUAAAAAAGAAUUUAAAGAUUUUUAAGAUUAAAUUUAUAGAAAAGAAUAAUCACUUCUCAAUUACAAAAAUUGCAAUGAUAAUUCAAAAAAAGGCAUAAACCAACUACUCAUUUCUCUCUCAAAAUUUAAAGAUAACUCCGACACAAAUCUUCAAAACCCAUAUCUCUCAAAAUCUUCAAAACUUAUCCUAGGUUAUGUUUGGUUCCCAAAAAAUACUAAGAAAAAAAAAUGUAAAGGAAAAUGAUUUUUUCAUGUUUGGUUGUAGUAUGAAAAAUAUAAAAUAAAAUCAAAUAUAAUUUAAACUAAUUGAAAACUUAUAUAUUUUUAAAUUAUUUAAUCUUUAUAUUGAUGAGUUAAAAUAAAUAAAAUGAGUUUGAAGUAAAAAAAAAAAUUAUUAAUUUUUAAUCUAUUUUGUUAUUUUCUUUCUACUUUUUCUUUCCCUUACAUUUUUCUUCAAAUUUUCUCGACAACCAAAACUCUAUGCAUUUAUCAAUUUCAAAAUAACACCGAAACAAUCAAAAAAUAAAACGAUACAUUUCUCCAUAAAUCUAAAAUUUCUUCACAACUAAUUCUUCCUAUACAAACAAACACCCUAACCAGAUAAUUCAACCAUCAAUAACGCAACAUAUUCGUUAAAUUGAGAUAAAAAUUUCAAAAAUAAAAAGCCAACAAAUCAUCAAAAUUUUUUGAUUUCUCAACUUUGAAACUAACCUAAACAGGGAAACAACUUAGACAAAUUUUGUAAGGAACUCUGAGUUGUUCUCACCUUCUCUCUUUGUUCUUUGCCUUUCCUCAUAGGCAAUUAAAUGGCUAUGUUAAAUGCAAUUUCACGAUGAGUGCAGUUUCACGACGGAAUGGAGAAAUUGAAACCCUAAAAAGGUAGAAGGUUGUUCCCGAGAUCUCAAUUGGCAAGAAAACCCAGAAAAUUGCAACUGAUAAGAGUUGUUGAAAACUAUCGAAUUUUUGGUCAACAUCGAUAGUCAUCGAAGGAGUUGCCGAUGAGAGGUAGAUGUGGGUAUUGAUACAGAGUGUGGGGAACGUGGGUUCUAAGCAUUUUGGAAAAAUAGGGGUAGCUUAUAUAAUUAAGCAAAAGAUGGCACUUUUAAAGGGCGCCAAUGUUGAGCUCUUCCAUCAACCAUGCUUUCAGAAGGCACCAUUAUUUAAAUUUCAUGUUAUAAUGACAUUUAUAAAAGCGUCAUUAUUUAAAAACGCCAUUAUUUUUCCUACAAAGCUCCAAGGAAGAGUAAGCGCCAAUAAUAGUCAUUUUUAAUAAUAAAUAAUGACAUUUUUUAAAAGCACCAGGAAAUAAAGCGUUGUUAAUUUAAUUUUUUGUAGUAAUGGGAAGGAAAGAAAAAUAGAGAGAAAAAGUAGAAGGAAAGAAAAAAUGAAGAAAAAAAUAUUUAAGGUCAAUAAAUUAUUUUAAAUUCAUUUGACAUAUUUUCCUUGUUAUGUUUUUUUUUUUUUUUUUUUUUUGCUAGUGUUUUUUGGGAAUGAAACAUAAACUAAGAGUUGCAUUAAUGGAGAGUGACCAAUGGACCUGCAAAAAUGUCGUACAAUCUUUAGUCAUAAGGUGUGAGAUGAUCAAUGACAUAGCAACAGGUUCCUAGACUGUGGUAGAAGACACUAUGAGGGUAGCAUCCAACAAAUUGCAUUAGGAUGAUAACCCUUGGGGCAUUGUCUUUGGUCUGAAAAGUGUUAUACUCCCCAUGAAACAAGCUGAAACAGGAGCCGAAGAUCAAAUCAAUUCAAGCAACUCUUCUGCCAGUUCUCUUGAAUGAAACAAACUGUCGAUGUACUGCACUAAUAAAGCUGAUGAAUCAACAAAGCUUUGCAUCUUAGUAGUCAUCGAGACCUCUGAAAAGCCACAUACAACAAUGAUAUGCAAAUUAUGGUCAUAAUUUUAUAUACAUGAUGUGUAUAUGUCCAUAAACAGUUAAAACAUGGACUUAAUUACCAUUUUCACGCAACUUCUUCAUAAGCUUGGCCCUUGUAGGAAGAGCAGGCAGCGAAGCAGAGACGGCAGUUCUGGAAGCCCAUCCAUGGUAUGCAGCAAAGGACUGCUCGUAUGACUUUGAAACCGCACCUUUAAUGGAGUUUUCUCUGAAAAUCAAUCAAACCCCGUUUCGUAAUCCAUGCAAAAAUGUCUCAAAUUCAUCAAUAAAUUGAAGGAAACUUGUAUGAACAUACCCACUACUUAGCAUUUCCUCAAACAUCACCUUCAGCAUGUUGAUUGAACGCUUCACUCUGAUCAAGCUUCUUGAGCCGCUAUAAGGCUUCUUAGCACACUGCUGUUCAAUUUCUCGAUCAAUCAUAGUUUCUAGUGUAUCAUCUGGCCUUGCUCCGUUCUUAAGAUCAUUAACCUUUCAUGCAUAUGUACAUACAUUAAGUUAAUUAUAUCGAACUAUAACCUUGUACAUAUCCAAUAACACGUUACAUGCAUACAUGUUUAUAAGUAAUCAAAAUGGUUCGGAUGAAGGAAUAAUAUAGUACUGCAAGGAGUUGAUACACAUUAAAAUUGGCCCAUGCCAUUACCUUGGAUGACAAUUCCAUCUGAGCAAACUUGAAAGGAGGGCCGAAGUAGCCAAUGAAAAGGUAGCCAACACG